UUGUUUAGAAUCAGAAUAAAGUUGUAU
rnacentral:piRNA from 1 species